UACGGAGGGGGCUAGCGUUGUUCGGAAUUACUGGGCGUAAAGGGCUCGUAGGCGGCCCGCUAAGUCGAACGUGAAAUCCCCAGGCUCAACCUGGGAACUGCGUCCGAUACUGGCAGGCUUGAAUCCGGGAGAGGGAUGUGGAAUUCCAGGUGUAGCGGUGAAAUGCGUAGAUAUCUGGAGGAACACCGGUGGCGAAGGCGGCAUCCUGGACCGGCAUUGACGCUGAGGCGCGAAAGCUAGGGGAGCAAACGGG
rnacentral:rRNA from 1 species